ACUGCUCAGUAACACGUGGACAACCUGCCCUUAGGUUGGGUAUAAACCCGGGAAACUGGGUAUAAUACCCGAUAGGUCUCGAUUGCUGGAAUGCAUCGAGAUUUAAAGCUCCGGCGCCUAAGGAUGGGUCUGCGGCCUAUCAGGUAGUAGUGGGUGUAGCGUACCUACUAGCCUACGCCGGGUACGGGUUGUGAGAGCAAGAGCCCGGAGAUGGAUUCUGAGACACGAAUCCAGGCCCUACGGGGUGCAGCAGGCGCGAAAACUUUACAAUGCUGGCAACAGCGAUAAGGGAACCUCGAGUGCCAGGUUACAAAUCUGGCUGUCGAGAUGCCUAAAAAGCAUUUCAUAGCAAGGGCCGGGCAAGACCGGUGCCAGCCGCCGCGGUAACACCGGCGGCUCGAGUGGUAACCGUUAUUAUUGGGUCUAAAGGGUCUGUAGCCGGCCGGAUAAGUCUCUUGAGAAAUCUGGCAGCUUAACUGUCAGGCUUUCAGGAGAUACUGUCUGGCUCGAGGCCGGGAGAGGUGAGAGGUACUUCAGGGGUAGGGGUGAAAUCUUGUAAUCCUUGAAGGACCACCAGUGGCGAAGGCGUCUCACCAGAACGGACCUGACGGCAAGGGACGAAAGCUAGGGGCACGAACCGGAUUAGAUACCCGGGUAGUCCUAGCCGUAAACGAUACUCGCUAGGUGUCGGCCACGGUGCGACCGUUGUCGGUGCCGUAGGGAAGCCGUGAAGCGAGCCACCUGGGAAGUACGGCCGCAAGGCUGAAACUUAAAGGAAUUGGCGGGGGAGCAC
rnacentral:rRNA from 1 species